AAGAGUAAGGGUCUCUGGCCCGAACCUCCAACCCUCUGUUGUUAUAACUACUUCGUUGCUUUGGCGGGACCGCAAAGGUUCUCCCGAGCGCGCCGGUCUUCGGACAGGCGAGCGCCCGCCAGAGUCUAACCAAACUCUUGUUUUAAACCAGUCGUCUGAGUAUAAAAUUUUAAUUAAAUUA
rnacentral:misc_RNA from 1 species